ACCCCUGUGACAUACCUAUACGUUGCCUCGGCGGAUCAGCCCGCGCCCCGUAAAACGGGACGGCCCGCCCGAGGACCCCUAAACUCUGUUUUUAGUGGAACUUCUGAGUAAAACAAACAAAUAAAUCAAAACUUUCAACAACGGAUCUCUUGGUUCUGGCAUCGAUGAAGAACGCAGCAAAAUGCGAUAAGUAAUGUGAAUUGCAGAAUUCAGUGAAUCAUCGAAUCUUUGAACGCACAUUGCGCCAGCCAGUAUUCUGGCGGGCAUGCCUGUUCGAGCGUCAUUUCAACCCUCAAGCUCAGCUUGGUGUUGGGACACGCGGUAACCCGCGUUCCCCAAAUCGAUUGGCGGUCACGUCGAGCUUCCAUAGCGUAGUAAUCAUACACCUCGUUACUGGUAAUCGUCGCGGCCACGCCGUUAAACCCCAACUUCUGAAUGUUGACCUCGGAUCAGGUAGGAAUACCCGCUGAACU
rnacentral:rRNA from 1 species